AGUCUUCUGAACCCGUACCGAGAUUUCGUCAGAAAUCAGAACAUCAGCACUGAUGAGACUCCCAAGAUAAGUGAAUUG
rnacentral:pre_miRNA from 1 species